UUGCGGCGACAUCACGUUAACAAACCGGUUUCCGGACGAACACCGAAGUUAAGUAACAUCGAGCCUGGUCAGUACUUAAAUGGGUGACAGCUUGGGAAUGCCAAGUGAUU